AGUGAACGCUGGCGGUAGGCCUAACACAUGCAAGUCGAACGGCAGCACAGUAAGAGCUUGCUCUUACGGGUGGCGAGUGGCGGACGGGUGGGGAAUACAUCGGAAUCUACUUUUUCGUGGGGGGUAACGUAGGGAAACUUACGCUAAUACCGCAUACGACCUACGGGUGAAAGCAGGGGAUCUUCGGACCUUGCGCGAUUGAAUGAGCCGAUGUCGGAUUAGCUAGUUGGCGGGGUAAAGGCCCACCAAGGCGACGAUCCGUAGCUGGUCUGAGAGGAUGAUCAGCCACACUGGAACUGAGACACGGUCCAGACUCCUACGGGAGGCAGCAGUGGGGAAUAUUGGACAAUGGGCGCAAGCCUGAUCCAGCCAUACCGCGUGGGUGAAGAAGGCCUUCGGGUUGUAAAGCCCUUUUGUUGGGAAAGAAAAGCAGCAGGUUAAUACCCCGCUGUUCCGACGGUACCCAAAGAAUAAGCACCGGCUAACUUCGUG
rnacentral:rRNA from 1 species